rnacentral:rRNA from 1 species
CAAGGGUUGGGCUGUUCGCCCAUUAAAGCGGUACGCGAGCUGGGUUUAGAACGUCGUGAGACAGUUCGGUCCCUAUCCGCUGCGCGCGUUGGAGUCUUGAGAAGGGCUGUCCCUAGUACGAGAGGACCGGGACGGACGAACCUCUGGUGUGCCAGUUGUCCUGCCAAGGGCAUGGCUGGUUGGCUACGUUCGGGAGGGAUAACCGCUGAAAGCAUCUAAGCGGGAAGCCUGCUUCGAGAUGAGGGCUCCCACCCACUUGAUGGGGUAAGGCUCCCAGUAGACGACUGGGUUGAUAGGCCGGAUGUGGAAGCCUCGUGAGGGGUGGAGCUGACCGGUACUAAUAGGCCGAGGGCUUGUCCAU